rnacentral:rRNA from 1 species
UACGAAGGUGGCAAGCGUUACUCGGAAUUACUAGGCGUAAAGGGCAGGUAGGUGGUCUGAUAAGUCUAUUGUGAAAGCUCCCGGCUUAACCGGGAGAGGUCAACAGAAACUGUCAGGCUUGAGUAUGGGAGAGGGUACUGGAAUUCCCGGUGUAGCGGUGAAAUGCGCAGAGAUCGGGAGGAACACCUAUGGCGAAAGCAGGUACCUGGACCAUUACUGACACUCAACUGCGAAAGCUAGGGGAGCAAAC